GGUUAGGAUAAUUAACGUGGCAGGUUAGGAUAAUUAACGUGGCAGGUUAGGAUAAUUAACGUGGCAGGUUAGGAUAAUUAACGUGGCAGGUUAGGAUAAUUAACGUGUCAGGUUAGGAUAAUUAACGUGGCAGGUUAGGAUAAUUAACGUGGCAGGUUAGGAUAAUUAACGUGGCAGGUUAGGAUAAUUAACGUGGCAGGUUAGGAUAAUUAACGUGGCAGGUUAGGAUAAUUAACGUGGCAGGUUAGGAUAAUUAACGUGUCAGGUUAGGAUAAUUAACGUGGCAGGUUAGGAUAAUUAACGUGGCAGGUUAGGAUAAUUAACGUGGCAGGUUAGGAUAAUUAACGUGUCAGGUUAGGAUAAUUAACGUGGCAGGUUAGGAUAAUUAACGUGGCAGGUUAGGAUAAUUAACGUGGCAGGUUAGGAUAAUUAACGUGGCAGGUUAGGAUAAUUAACGUGUCAGGUUAGGAUAAUUAACGUGGCAGGUUAGGAUAAUUAACGUGGCAGGUUAGGAUAAUUAACGUGUCAGGUUAGGAUAAUUAACGUGUCAGGUUAGGAUAAUUAACGUGUCAGGUUAGGAUAAUUAACGUGUCAGGUUAGGAUAAUUAACGUGUCAGGUUAGGAUAAUUAACGUGGCAGGUUAGGAUAAUUAACGUGUCAGGUUAGGAUAAUUAACGUGUCAGGUUAGGAUAAUUAACGUGGCAGGUUAGGAUAAUUAACGUGGCAGGUUAGGAGAAUGAGAUUAAGGUUAGGAAAAGGGUUAGUCUUAGCCAAAAUGCUACAGUUAUCAACAAUCGACUCGUGCCGCCCAAUCAGCCACACAAAAAGGUCUUGAGUGGCAACAAAUCUGCCCUAUUUGCUGAUUUGCUUUCCACACACCCACUUCUGUUAAUCCUCCCACUUCUGUUGACACGCCCACUUUCAGACACACGCCAUGUUUGCAGUUACCCAUGACUCACUACUUACCUCAAACUAUAUAGUAGGACCCCUUUUAACCUCUAUAGCUGCGUUUACACAGGCAGCCCAAUUCUGAUCUAUUUUCCACUAAUUGUUUUUUUGGACCAAUCACAUCAAAUCUUUUCACAUAUUUUUCAGAGCUGAUCUGAUUAGUCAAAGGGCCAAUUAGUGGAAAACAGAUCAGAAUUCUGCUGCCUGUUUAAACGCAGGCUAUUAUGUCUCUGCUGUG